rnacentral:rRNA from 1 species
UCAGUGCAGGCCUUUAUACGGUGAAACCGCGAAUGGCUCAUUAAAUCAGCUAUGGUUUAUUGGAUCGUAUCCGUUAAAUGGAUAACUGUAAUAACUCUAGAGCUAAUACAUGCCCCGAUGCCCUGACUCUGUCGGCUGCUGCUGUCACAGGUGGUGGCUGGUAGAGGAUGGGUGCACUUAUUAGAUCAGAAGCCAACCAGCGUGCGUGCGCUUGUCGUGCGUGCGCUGAAGCACUUCUGGUGACUCUGGAUAAUUGUUACAGAUCGCAGUCGGCCUUGAGUCGGCGACGGGUCCUUCAAAUGUCUGCCCUAUCAACUUUCGAUGGUAGGUGACCUGCCUACCAUGGUGAUAACGGGUAACGGGGAAUCAGGGUUCGAUUCCGGAGAGGGAGCCUGAGAAACGGCUACCACUUCCAAGGGAGGCAGCAGGCGCGCAAAUUACCCACUCCCAGCACGGG